GUGAGCUGGAGAACGUCUUUCUCUGGCAGACCUUCUCGCGGUUGUAGGUUGGUUAGUCUCUUUUUCAACAGCAGUCACUUCUUGCAAUUGACCUUUCUCCAGGGCCAACAACUCCUUCUCUGCAGGAGCAACGACAACAUCAGCAGUCGGUACUACUGGAGUGCAUUUGUCCUGCUUAUUUCCUGUGGGUGGUACAGUUGCGAGCAUCUCAUCUGUACUGCGUGCUCUUACUUGGUCCACAUGCCUUUUCACAGUUUGUCCCUGUCCCAGAGUGGUCUUGUACGAAAGAGGUCCUGUGCAACUUUCCACUACUGCAGAAUUUUGUUCUUUACGUCAGGAAGAAGUAAGUCAAAUGCAGAUCUCAACUUCCGUGACAUUAACAUCUGAGCAGGUGACAACCUUGUUGUUGCAUGGGGUGUGAUUCUAUAAUUAAACAAGAAUCUUGCUACUCUUGUCUCCACUGUCUCACCUUUCAUCCUUUUCAUCCCCUCCUUGAAACUUUGAACAGCCCAUUCCGCUAAGCCAUUGGAAGACGGAUGAUAAGGAGCUGACAUCACGUGUUGAAUGCCAUUCUUUUCCAUGAAAGUUUCAAACUCUUGACUGGUUAAGCAUGGUCCAUUGUCUGAGACUACCAUUUUAGGUAAUCCAUGAGUACUGAAACACAUUCUCAGUUUCUCAAUGGUGACUUGUGAAGUAGCAUGCAUAGUUGGAUAAACUUCCAUCCACUUGGAAUGAGAAUCAACCAGUACUAGAUACAUCUUUCCCAUGAAGGGCCCUGCGUAGUCAAUUGCAGUCGUUCCCAGGGUGAGCCUGGCCACUCCCACGGGUGCAACGGAGAUUGAGCAGGUGCCUUUUUGAAACUUUGACAAACUUCACAGUUCUGCACAACUUUCUCCACAUCCUGGUCCAUACCAGGCCACCACAUGUAUGAAUGGGCCAAGCCUUUCAUUCUUGACAUACCGGAAUGGGUUUGAUGCAACUGUUUCAAUACAGCCGUUCGACCUUGUGAGGGUAUGAUAAUUCUUGCCCCCCAAAUCACACAUCCAUCCUUAACACUUAAAGAAUCUCUCCUAUAAUAGUAUGGUAACAGCGGUGACUCUACGUUUUCAGGCCAACCUGUUAAUAUGAAGUUAUGUACUGUGGAGAGUGUAAUGUCAUGGGAUGUCCAUUUUCGAAUUUGCACGGCAUUUACAGGCACGGCAUCCAUUAGAUCCAUCAUCAGCACUUGCUCAUUAGUGUCAUCCGGCUUUUCCUCACCUGGCAUUGGGAGUCUACUCAGAGCAUCAGCAUUUUGGUGAUACUUCCCAGGCUUAUAUACAAUAUUGUACUGAUAUGCCUGCAACAUCACAGCCCAUCUUUGCACUCUCGGUGACCCCAUUUGCGGAACUGCCUUCGUUUCAUUGAACAAAUUAACUAAGGGCUUAUGAUCAGUGCAAAUUGUGAAUGCCCGACCAUACAGGUACUUGUGAAAUCUUUGGAUGCCAAAAAUCACAGCCAGGCAUUCCUUGUCCAACUGUGAAUAACGCUUUUCGGCCGCUGUUAAUGUUCUUGACAUGAACCCAAGAGGCUUCUCCAUGCUCUCUCCCCUUUUCCGCUGUGAAAGCACUGCCCCAACCCCAUAGGAUGAGGCUCUUUCCACAUCCACUGAACAUCUUUUCUCAGUAGCAGAUGUAAGGGGGCUAGCAGCAUUGCCAGAUUUGGUAGGAACUUAUUAUAAUAGUUCAGCAACCCCAGGUACGCUUUAAGCUCUGUGAUAUUCUGUGGUUCCGGUGCUUCAUCAAUGGCUUUCACUUUAGUUCCUGUAGGAUGCAACCCUUCUGCAUCUACUCUGUGACCUAAAUAUUCCACCUCAUCUGCCAGGAACAUACACUUUCCCCGCUUCAGCCGCAACCCCGCUUCUUUCAGCCUUGCCAAUACUUCAGCAAGUGUUUUCAAGUGAUUGUCUUGGUUUACUCCAGUUACUAAUAUAUCAUCCAGAUAAACAACUACUCCAGGAAUCCCUUGCAACAAUCCCUCCAUUGUUCUCUGAAAGAUAGCAGGAGCUGAAGCAACUCCAAAUGGUAAACGAUUGUAUGUGAAUAACCCCUUGUGCGUAUUCACAGUCAAGUAUUUCUUGGAGUCCUCAUCCAUGAUAAUUUGUUGGUAUGCGUGACUCAUGUCCAGUUUUGUGAACUGCUUACCACCAUCCAGUCUAGCAAAAAGGUCCUCCACUCUUGGUAUUGGGUAUUGUUCAAGUUUUGACACUCUGUUUAUUGUAAGUUUGUAGUCACCGCACAACCUUAUACUUCCAUCUGGUUUCAAGAUAGGAACAACAGGAGCAGCCCACUCUGAAUACUUAACAGGUGAGAUGAUCUUGUCCCGCAGCAGACGAUCUAUCUCUUCCUCUACCUUUGUUUUUAAAGCAUAUGGCACUGAUCUAUGUCUGUAAAACUUAGGUGAGGCGUCAGUCGGCACAUGCAGAGUAGCAGUAGUGCCCUUUAAUGUUCCAAGCUCCUCUUUGAACACUUCCUCAUGCUUGGAUAGCACUUGCUGCAACGUCAUCUUUUCCAACUGAACCAGCUUUAUCUCACCCCAUUGCAGUUGAAUUUCUUCCAGCCAAGCUCUGCCUAGCAAACAUGGACCUGUUCCUUUUACUAUGACCAGGGGCAUUUCCUUUUCCUGCUGCUUAUAUUUUACAUGAACAUCUGCCACUCCCACUAUCUCCACUGGCUCUCCUGUAUAAGUUUUCAACUUGAUUUUUGAGGGUCUUAUUUUGGGAGCUUCUGAAUCUUUCCAGAUGUCCAUAAACAUUCCCUCAUUCAUUAGACUGACACUGCACCCUGUAUCAAUUUCGAAGUUCACAGGUUUGCCAUCAACCUGCAAUUUAACUGUAAGGGGUUUCACCUUCUUCAACACAUCACUCUUUAGACAAGCCAACGUGAAUGUUUCUUCAGAUUCAUCACUUUCGUUAUUU
ensembl:lncRNA